rnacentral:rRNA from 1 species
UACGAAGGGGGCAAGCGUUGUUCGGAAUUACUGGGCGUAAAACGUGCGCAGGCGGUCUGUUAAGACCGAUGUGAAAUCCCCGGGCUUAACCUGGGAACUGCAUUGGUGACUGGCAGGCUUUGAGUGUGGCAGAGGGAGGUAGAAUUCCACGUGUAGCAGUGAAAUGCGUAGAGAUGUGGAGGAAUACCGAUGGCGAAGGCAGCCUCCUGGGCCAACACUGACGCUCAUGCACGAAAGCGUGGGGAGCAAACAGG